GGUAUGAAUGGGAUAACUGGGUCUAGCUGUCUCAGAAAUAUUUUUUUGAAUUUACUGUUUAAGUGAAAAAGCUUAAAUUUUAUAAAGGGACGAGAAGACCCUUGGAAUUUUUUUUAAUUUAGGAUUAUUCCUGAUGUUAUUUUGUUGGGGCGACAUAGAAAUAGUUAAAACUUUCUUUAUAACAUGAGUCGGAAUUUUCAGGAAAAGAUAAAUUACCCAAGGGAUAACAGCAUAAUUCUAUAAAUGAGUUUGUGACCUCGAUGUUGGACUAGGAAGCUGGCAGGUUAGCUGCUUGUCGUGCGAAUUCUGUUCGAAUUUUAACUCCUACGUGAUCUGAGUUCAGACCGGAUCCCCUGUUUAUCAAAAA
rnacentral:rRNA from 1 species